rnacentral:rRNA from 1 species
UACAGAGGUGGCAAGCGUUGUUCGGAAUUACUGGGCGUAAAGGGCGCGUAGGCGGCCUUCUAAGUCAGACGUGAAAUCCCCCGGCUUAACCUGGGAACUGCGUCUGAUACUGGGAGGCUUGAGUAUGGGAGAGGGAUGUGGAAUUCCGGGUGUAGCGGUGGAAUGCGUAGAGAUCCGGAAGAACACCGGUGGCGAAGGCGGCCUGCUGGGCAGUAGCUGACGCUGAGGCGCGACAGCGUGGGGAGCAAACAGG